UACGUAGGGAGCAAGCGUUGUCCGGAAUCACUGGGCGUAAAGGGCGCGUAGGCGGCUCAUGAAGGCUGUGGUGAAAGUCCGGGGCUCAACCUCGGAUCGGCCGUGGCGACUCGUGGGCUGGAGCACUGUAGAGGCGGGUGGAAUUCCGGGUGUAGUGGUGGAAUGCGUAGAGAUCCGGAGGAACACCAGCGGCGAAGGCGGCAUCCUGGACUGGUCCUGACACUCAGGAGCGAAAGCGUGGGGAGCGAUCCGG
rnacentral:rRNA from 1 species